CAGUCGCCGCGGUAAUACGAAGGGGGCUAGCGUUGUUCGGAUUUACUGGGCGUAAAGCGCACGUAGGCGGACUUUUAAGUCAGGGGUGAAAUCCCGGGGCUCAACCCCGGAACUGCCUUUGAUACUGGGAGUCUUGAGUUCGAGAGAGGUGAGUGGAAUUGCGAGUGUAGAGGUGCAAUUCGUAGAUAUUCGCAGGAACACCAGUGGCGAAGGCGGCUCACUGGCUCGGUACUGACGCUGAGGUGCGAAAGCGUGGGGAGCAAACAGGAUUAGAUACCCCUGUAGUCCCUGUCUCUUAUAC
rnacentral:rRNA from 1 species